ACAAAGGUGUGAUUAUGCUUCAUCAGAUGUUCGCCAGUUGUCCCACCGGAAGCAGUGGCCGGGGCGGGGCAGGGCGGGGCGACCCGUUUGGCACUUGAGGCGGUGGAGUUUCUAGAUUGGAUAUAAAAACAGCACAACAUUCUUCUUUUUGAGGCUACAGAAUAUUGUGAGCGUUAGCACCCAAAACGCUCUGAAGCUUCUAAGAAUUCCCUAAACGAUUUAGGGCAAGAAUCAAAAGUGAACUUGGUGAAACUUUAAGUAAAGGGGCUCGUGAUCAUCACUGUACCAUCUAUAUUCUUGUGGUACUGAUUUUGGAAAUUCAUUUGGAAGUAAAUAUAAUCACUAUAGAAAUGAAGAACUCAGAACUCAGGAAGCGUAGGUGAUCCUUCAAAAAGAUAUGUAUGAUGUGACAAGAUGUGAAAUAUUAUCGAGUCCUCUACGAGGCCGGGUACGGAACAAUGUGAUAUGAAAUAUUACCGAGUUCUUUUGAGGCUAGGCACAACCGAGACCUCCUGAGGCCAGAUAUGAUGUGAUAAAAGCAUGAGAUUUUACUGAGUCCUCUAUGAGGCCGGGUACGACAUGAGAUGAUAUGCCCCAAAGAGUGGGUGAAUGAUAUUAUAUUAUAUGUAAUGCAUAGCCCCAAUUAGUGGCUUAAAUUUUACAAAACUUGCAUAUAUUCAUGAUUCAUGGUUAAUGCACUGCACACCCCAGUGACUUGUCUUCGGCAUUCAGGUUAAACUUGUGUGUUUAUAUCUCUUCUGUUAUACCUUUGGUUUACAUACAUUGUCCCUCAUAAAUACUCACUACAUCUUUUGUACUGACGCCCCUUUCUUCUGGGCGAUGUGUUCAUGCCCACAAGUAAAUAUAGACCCGGUGACGUUCCUUCCCAGUAGAGUGCAUGUUUCAGUGGUUGGUUGUCAUACUCCACUUCUCCGGAGUAGCUGUACAAAAGUCGAUAGGUAUUGGAGUAUGUGUCUCUGUCAUUUUGGGUAUGGUGAGACCCUAUUCCGACCAAGUUGUAUAUUAUGGUACUCUUAGAGGCUUGCAAGCUAGUGUCCAGUGUGUACGUAAAUAUAGCUACGACUCUAUUGGCAAUGGUUGUGUAUAAUACAAAAUGUUGAAAGCUUCUUCCAUAGUUAGUUGUGAGUUUUUUA